CAGCCGCCGCGGUAAUACGCAGGGUGCGAGCGUUAAUCGGAAUUACUGGGCGUAAAGCGUGCGCAGGCGGUUAUAUAAGACAGAUGUGAAAUCCCCGGGCUCAACCUGGGACCUGCAUUUGUGACUGUAUAACUAGAGUACGGUAGAGGGGGAUGGAAUUCCGCGUGUAGCAGUGAAAUGCGUAGAUAUGCGGAGGAACACCGAUGGCGAAGGCAAUCCCCUGGACCUGUACUGACGCUCAUGCACGAAAGCGUGGGGAGCAAACAGGAUUAGAUACCCCUGUAGUCCCUGUCUCUUAUAC
rnacentral:rRNA from 1 species